UAUCAGUCAUGCAUAGCAUAUCAAUAAGCGGAGGAAAAGAAACUAACAAGGAUUCCCUUAGUAACGGCGAGUGAAGCGGGAAGAGCUCAAAUUUGAAAUCUUCAAGGUUUUACCUUGACGAAUUGUAGUUUAAAGAAGUGUUUUCUGUUGAAGUUUUGGUAAAAGUUCUUUGGAAUAGGACAUCAUAGAGGGUGAGAAUCCCGUAUUUGACCAUUACUUUCAGCUUUGUGAUACACUUUCAAAGAGUCGGAUUGUUUGGGAAUGCAGUCCAAAAUGGGUGGUAAAUUUCAUCUAAAGCUAAAUAUUGGCGAGAGACCGAUAGCGAACAAGUACCGUGAGGGAAAGAUGAAAAGAACUUUGAAAAGAGAGUUAAACAGUACGUGAAAUUGUCAAAAGGGAAGCGUUUGACACCAGUGUUGUUUUCUCGAAAAUCAAUUAAAAAGAGUUGGAUUUUGUGUUGUAUUGACUUUAUCGGCUUUCUUCACUCUUUUCCAGCUUUUUUUAAUGCACUUUUCGUUUAACAAGUCAACAUCAGUUUCUUUUGUUGUAAAAAGGUCAUUGGAAGGUGGCUUUCUCUUCGGAGAAAGUGUUUAUAGCCUUUGACUCAUGCAAUCGGAGAGACUGAGGUCUGCAGCGUAGAUCCUUCGGGGUUAGAUACAUUUGUGCUAAGUUAUAGCUUUUCAUAGACAACUUGUUGACUAUGUUUAGUCUUGUAGCUUACUCGCUUAUGCUAUUUUACCUACGCUUAGGAUGUUGAACUCUAUCACACACAG
rnacentral:rRNA from 1 species